rnacentral:lncRNA from 1 species
UACGGUUAAAGUUAUUACUCCUUCCACCGGUAUAGCAUUGCCAGUGAACCCCACCAACGGAGAGCUUAUCGGUCCUAAUCGAUCAUUCGGAAUGGAUAUUUUUGAGAAUGCAUCAUAAAAUAAAAUAUCGGCAGAGCUUCCACUAUCAACAAGAAUGCGGCGUACAUCAUAGUCAGCAAUAUUUAAAGAAACUACAACCGCAUCAUUAUGGGGGAAUUGAAUCUCCUUGGCAUCUUCUUCAGUAAAGGUUAUAGAUUCAUCAGUCCUCUGUCGCUUGGGCGGUCCGACCGAUCCACUGGCUACCCCCCACCGGGAUCCUCCAGAGAUGGUGUUGAUGAUCCCGAUUGGAGGUCGAUCUUCAGGCUGUUCUUCCCUCCUUGGUGGCUCUGGCUGUGGUAGGGCCCUCGGCCGAUCCUCCUUAUCUUCAGGUCGGCGUCGGAUGAAUCUGUCAAGCCGACCUCAUCUGAUGAGCUCCUCGAUCUCGUCUUAGAGCUGAAUACACUCCUCCGUGUCGUGAUCGUGGUCACGAUGAUAGAGGCAGAACUUGUUAGGGUUGCACUUUCUGGGGUGUGUGCGCAUCCUUUCCGACCUUGGCAGCUGCUCCCUG